AACGAACGCUGGCGGCAUGCCUAACACAUGCAAGUCGAACGAGACCUCCGGAUGAGGUGGCGCUUGGGGGCGUAAAGCGGGGGACCCGUCCCUAAGGUUCGGAAAACUACCCUUACGGGGGUGCUAACACAGGAAAAUUUAUUCGAACAAAAGAUUUAUCGCCUUUGGGUGGACCGGGGUUGGUUUGGCUAGUUGGUAGGGUAAAAGCCUACCAAGGCGACGAUCCAUAGCUGGGUAGAGAGGAUGGUCAGCCACACUGGGACUGAGACACGGCCCAGACUCCUACGGGAGGCAGCAGUGGGGAAUAUAGGACAAUCGGCGAAAGCCUGAUCGAGCAAUGCCGCGUGAGUGAUGAAGGCGUGAGGGUUGUAAAGCUCGUUUACCCGGGAUGAUAAUGACAGUACCGAGAGAAUAAGCACCGGCUAACUCCGUG
rnacentral:rRNA from 1 species